GAUGAACGCUGGCGGCGUGCUUAACACAUGCAAGUCGAACGGUGAAGCAGGAGCUUGCUCCUGUGGAUCAGUGGCGAACGGGUGAGUAACACGUGAGAAAUCUGCCCUGGACUCUGGGAUAAGCGUUGGAAACGACGUCUAAUACCGGAUACGCGACGCGAAGGCAUCUUCAGCGUCGGGAAAGAACUUCGGUCCAGGAUGAUCUCGCGGCCUAUCAGCUAGUUGGUGAGGUAACGGCCCACCAAGGCGACGACGGGUAGCCGGCCUGAGAGGGUGACCGGCCACACUGGGACUGAGACACGGCCCAGACUCCUACGGGAGGCAGCAGUGGGGAAUAUUGCACAAUGGGCGCAAGCCUGAUGCAGCAACGCCGCGUGAGGGACGACGGCCUGGUGUAAC
rnacentral:rRNA from 1 species